CAAAUACUUAACAAUUUUCCAGCAG
rnacentral:misc_RNA from 1 species